AACGCAUCUUGCACUAUUCGGCUUCCCCGGAUAGUAUGCCUGGUUGAGUGUCUGUGUAUCUCUCCUAACAACAAUUUUUGUUGAUAGGGACUUGGGGUCUUAAUCUCGUCGGAAACCAUUUCAUUGGCAACCGGUGAACCCUUUAAAUAUAGUAAGCUCCCAUCUUUUCCACUAUGGAAAUACGCAAACUUGGGGAUGGCGUCGUAGCAAUCUUUUGUAUUGUCGAAGCGCCUACAACAUACCUCUAAUCUGCGGUGCUAAUCCAUACUAGGUGGGCGAAGCUUAACGACUGGCAAAGUGCCAUGCUCUACUAUACACUUUGGAGCACACGAACAACAAUGACCUCAACUCAGGUAGGACGACCCGCUGGACUUAA
rnacentral:misc_RNA from 1 species